AAAUCCUUACCCACUGAGUGGUCCCUCUGUCAAAUCCACGUCUCUCCAAUUUAUGAGACAAGGAUAUCAUUGGGGACAGUGUCAAAUGCUUUGCACAGCCCAGGUAGAUGAUGUCUGCUGCUUUUCCCCCGUCCACCAAAGCUGCAACCCCCUUGU